rnacentral:rRNA from 1 species
AACGAACGCUGGCGGCAGGCCUAACACAUGCAAGUCGAGCGAGGACUUCGGUCCUAGCGGCGGACGGGUGAGUAACGCGUGGGAACGUGCCCUUUGCUUCGGAAUAGCUCUGGGAAACUGGGAGUAAUACCGGAUGAGCCCUUUGGGGGAAAGAUUUAUCGGAGAAGGAUCGGCCCGCGUUGGAUUAGGUAGUUGGUGGGGUAAUGGCCUACCAAGCCGACGAUCCAUAGCUGGUUUGAGAGGAUGAUCAGCCACACUGGGACUGAGACACGGCCCAGACUCCUACGGGAGGCAGCAGUGGGGAAUCUUAGACAGUGGGGGAAACCCUGAUCUAGCCAUGCCGCGUGAGCGAUGAAGGCCUUAGGGUUGUAAAGCUCUUUCAGCUGGGAAGGUAAUGACGGUACCAGCAGAAGAAGCCCCGGCUAACUCCGUG